rnacentral:rRNA from 1 species
CUCAUUAAAUCAGUUAUAGUUUAUUUGAUGGUCUCUUUGUUCUUCUUUUUACCUACUCGGAUAACCGUGGUAAUUCUAGAGCUAAUACAUGCGCAAGGUCCCGAGCGCGGGGGUAGGGCUUCACGGCUCUACUCUUGCAUGCGUAGAGGGAUGUAUUUAUUAGGUUAAACAAACCAGCAUUUUCUCAUUUCUGGUGAUUCAUAGUAACUCUUUCGGAUCGCAUUCAUG